GUGUGUGUGUGUGUGUUGAGGUGCAAAAAAUUUUGAGCUGCUUCUUUUACCGCUAUUGAUAUAAUUAGUAGGCAUCAAACUUUAUACCUCUUGAUUUCUCAAGCUGUUCUCUAAACGCUGCGCCAAGGCUUCUUUUCUAUAAAGGAAGAAACUCUUUCUAUGUUAAACAUUAACUUUGACGGGAAAAAAGUUGAUUAAAAUUUUUAUCGGAUCUUUAUAUAAAGUUAAAAGAGUGUUUUAAGUUGUUCAGAUUUUAUAAAAAACAAAUAUCACGUCAGAUUUUCUGCGAUCAAAGUCAAAUGUUCAACAAUAUGGAACUAAAACAGCUAAUACAACCGGGAAAAAAAUUUAUUCAAGCAGGCAGAUUUGACUUGUGAUAGAAAUAAUCUUUUACAUCUUUCAGAUAGAUCGGACGAAGAAGUUUGUGAAAUGGACAUGAUACUAUGUGUU